rnacentral:rRNA from 1 species
UACGAUGGAGGGCUAGCGUUGUUCGGAAUUACUGGGCGUAAAGUGUGCGCAGGCGGCCGAGCAAGUCGAGUGUGAAAGCCCCCGGCUCAACUGGGGAGGGUCAUUCGAUACUGAUCGACUCGAAGGCAGGAGAGGGAAGUGGAAUUCCCGGUGUAGUGGUGAAAUGCGUAGAUAUCGGGAGGAACACCAGUGGCGAAGGCGACUUCCUGGCCUGUUCUUGACGCUGAGGCGCGAAAGCUAGGGGAGCAAACGGG